rnacentral:tRNA from 1 species
GCCAGGGUGGCAUAGUGGUUUGUGCUGGACUAUGACUCUGGAGACCCGGGUUCAAUUCCCAGCUCGGCCA